CACUGGGUGAAAUAGGAAGGAUACUUUCCCCCUCUAUUACUAAAUCAAAUCCCUCCUUCUUAAGGCUCUUUCCUGGCAAUCAUUGGUCUCACUUUUCUUUGGGAGGGGAGCUGCCAAGAGAUUGGUCCCCAGCUCGUCAGAUAAAAGGGCCAAGGAAUUGCUGAGAACCUCAGAGUUGGGUGAAACAGGCAAUACACAGGAAAGACCCAGGGCAGAGCCUCCCCCCUCGCUCUGGUCCUUGUACAUUCAGCCAAAGAAACCAGAGCCUGGAGGAAUUUUGUACAUCCCUGGGGUGGAAUCAAGGUUCCAGAUUGAGCACGAGAGCCAAGUAUCACUCACUAUGUCUUCGCACCUUGUCCUGCUUCUCCUGAUGUGCCUGACCCUGGAGAUGGCAGGUUCUGAGAAGGAGGAGCCUGCCCCUCGCUAUGGAAAUAAGCUCUGGUGGUUUUUCUUGAAUGAGGUAACUCUCGAAGACCCUAAAUUUGAAGGAAGGUACCAACCUGCUUUGGUAGAGGGAAUUUUCUCACCAGGAAUGAAAUCACAGAAAGAAGAUUCCGUUCCAUCCCACCAUUUGGUGCAGGAGGAGAAAAGAGGAAAGGCAGGCCAAUUCUAUGGACUGAUGGGGAAACGGGCAAGAGGGAAGUCACUGAUCCAGUCAGUGGAGCACAAAGCCCUCUCUGUGGCCUGGGACGAUAAGGACCAAGUGUCAAAGCUGGAACCUUGACCCUACACUACCAAGAAUGAAAACUCCCCCUGUCCCACAUUCCCUAUCACUUGGAGGUCACACCUGAUGAGGCCUUGGUCUGCCAGUCUCCCAGAACCCCCCAAUACAAUCUCCCACUGGCGUUUGACAUUGGCCAUGCACUGACACCAAACUGAUCAUGUCUUUUUUGAGUAUGUGGUACUCUCCUAUCAGAUUGCUAUGUUAAAAUGUGUUGCCAUCUUGUUGAAUGACCUACUUUUUCCCCCUUCAAAUGUCCCCCAAGUCCCUGUUCCCCUGGGGCUUCUUCUCCCUCAAGGCACAAGAUCUGGGGACUUGGUGUAAACUCGCCAAAACCAGUUGGCUCCAUUGUUGCUGCUCCCACCUCCCCUUCAGGGUAAUGGCGAGCCAGCUCUGUUUCCAAGGAGAAAGAAAAGCUGCAAUGGCCUGAACUGUGACUACUUAUUGGUGUGAACUAGCAGGGACCUUAGAGGUCAUCUAUUCCUUUAUUGUACAAAUGAAGAACUGGGGCCAAGAGAAUUGGGGUCAGGUGUCUGCCUUACAAGUCUAGGUAUGGGGGCUGUAAGGUGGCCCAGCAGAUAGAACACCGGGCCUAGAGUUGGGAGGUCCUGGGUUCAAAUUUAACCUCAGACCUUUCCUAGCUGUGUGACCCUGGACAAGUGACUUAAUCCUGUUGGUCUAUUAAAAAAAAAAAAUCUAGGUAUGCCUGGUUAGUUGUGAGACUGUGUUAAGCAUUAUAAGAAGAGAAAUAUUGUAUGGCUGUCACACUCAGAGGAGUUCUGAAUCGGGUCAAGAAUACAAUCCUGCCCUAUCUACCCACCCCUACUCUUCCUACUGCCACCCUCAUGGUCUGAUGAAGAAGACUGUCCCCAACUCUCAAGAGCCAAUGGGACCUGGCAGCCACUGUUUCAGGGAAUCUGCCCAUCAGACAAGGGAGACAACGUGUGAAAUAACUCAAAAACACAUUCUAGGGGCAGAAAGAUGGCUCCAUGGAUUGAGAACC
ensembl:lncRNA